GACGUUUAGCUGCAGAAGAAGCACCGGCUAACUCCGUGCCAGCAGCCGCGGUAAUACGGAGGGUGCGAGCGUUAAUCGGAAUUACUGGGCGUAAAGCGCAUGCAGGUGGUUUGUUAAGUCAGAUGUGAAAGCCCGGGGCUCAACCUCGGAAUUGCAUUUGAAACUGGCAAACUAGAGUACUGUAGAGGGGGUAGAAUUUCAGGUGUAGCGGUGAAAUGCGUAGAGAUCUGAAGGAAUACCGGUGGCGAAGGCGGCCCCCUCGGACAGAUACUGACACUCAGAUGCGAAAGCGUGGGGAGCAAACAGGAUUAGAUACCCUCGGUAG
rnacentral:rRNA from 1 species